GACGAACGCUGGCGGCGUGCUUAACACAUGCAAGUCGAACGAAGGGGCGCACGGGUGAGUAACGCGUAAACAACCUGCCCUUCAGAGGGGGACAACAGUUGGAAAUGACUGCUACUGCCGCAUACAGAAGGAGGGGAUUGCGUCGGCUUAGCUAGUUGGAGGGGUAACGGCCCACCAAGACGAUUAUCAGUAGCCGGUCUUAGAGGAGGAACCACCCCAUUUGGACGGAGACACGGCCCAGACUCCUACUUUGAUCAACAGUGGAUAAUCUUCCGGAAUUGACGAAAGUCUGACGAGGCAACGCCGCGUGAGUGAAGACAGCCUUCGGGUUGUCAAGCUCUGUUAAUCGGGACGCGUUACCGGAAUAGAAAGCCACGGCUAACUACGUGCCAGCAGCCGCGGUAAUAC
rnacentral:rRNA from 1 species